UGCAGUCGAACGGGAUCCCAGGAGCUUGCUCCUGGGUGAGAGUGGCGAACGGGUGAGUAAUGCGUGACCGACCUGCCCCAUACACCGGAAUAGCUCCUGGAAACGGGUGGUAAUGCCGGAUGCUCCAGUUGGAUGCAUGUCCUUCUGGGAAAGAUUCAUCGGUAUGGGAUGGGGUCGCGUCCUAUCAGCUUGAUGGCGGGGUAACGGCCCACCAUGGCUUCGACGGGUAGCCGGCCUGAGAGGGCGACCGGCCACAUUGGGACUGAGAUACGGCCCAGACUCCUACGGGAGGCAGCAGUGGGGAAUAUUGCACAAUGGGCGCAAGCCUGAUGCAGCGACGCCGCGUGCGGGAUGACGGCCUUCGGGUUGUAAACCGCUUUUGACUGGGAGCAAGCCCUUCGGGGUGAGUGUACCUUUCGAAUAAGCACCGGCUAACUACGUGCCAGCAGCCGCGGUAAUACGUAGGGUGCAAGCGUUAUCCGGAAUUAUUGGGCGUAAAGGGCUCGUAGGCGGUUCGUCGCGUCCGGUGUGAAAGUCCAUCGCUUAACGGUGGAUCCGCGCCGGGUACGGGCGGGCUUGAGUGCGGUAGGGGAGACUGGAAUUCCCGGUGUAACGGUGGAAUGUGUAGAUAUCGGGAAGAACACCAAUGGCGAAGGCAGGUCUCUGGGCCGUCACUGACGCUGAGGAGCGAAAGCGUGGGGAGCGAACAGGAUUAGAUACCCUGGUAGUCCACGCCGUAAACGGUGGAUGCUGGAUGUGGGGACCAUUCCACGGUCUCCGUGUCGGAGCCAACGCGUUAAGCAUCCCGCCUGGGGAGUACGGCCGCAAGGCUAAAACUCAAAGAAAUUGACGGGGGCCCGCACAAGCGGCGGAGCAUGCGGAUUAAUUCGAUGCAACGCGAAGAACCUUACCUGGGCUUGACAUGUUCCCGACAGCCGUAGAGAU
rnacentral:rRNA from 1 species